rnacentral:rRNA from 1 species
GAUGAACGCUGGCGGCGUGCCUAAUACAUGCAAGUCGAGCGAACAGACGAGGAGCUUUCUCCUCUGACGUUAGCGGCGGACGGGUGAGUAACACGUGGAUAACCUACCUAUAAUACUGGGAUAACUUCGUGAAACCGGAGCUAAUACCGGAUAAUAUAUUGAACCGCAUGGUUCAAUAGUGAAAGACGGUUUUGCUGUCACUUAUAGAUGGAUCCGCGCCGCAUUAGCUAGUUGGUAAGGUAACGGCUUACCAAGGCGACGAUGCGUAGCCGACCUGAGAGGGUGAUCGGCCACACUGGAACUGAGACACGGUCCAGACUCCUACGGGAGGCAGCAGUAGGGAAUCUUCCGCAAUGGGCGCAAGCCUGACGGAGCAACGCCGCGUGAGUGAUGAAGGUCUUCGGAUCGUAAAACUCUGUUAUUAGGGAAGAACAAAUGUGUAAGUAACUAUGCACGUCUUGACGGUACCUAAUCAGAAAGCCACGGCUAACUACGUG